UUUUUUUUCUCGCGGUUAGGCUGUUCAUAGCCUAACCUAAUCUUUAACACGGACAGGGUUCGCACUCCUCUUUUGUUUAGUCUAGAGCUAGGGUUGAAAGGGGCUGGAAGCGACGGGAUCAAGAGCUAAGGGAGAAAGGGGCUAGAAGGGGCGGGAUCAAAGGCUAGGGAUCAAAGGGGCUAGAGCUAAGAGCCUCAAAAGCGCGUGGAGCAGCUUGUACCGUCGCUAGUACCGCCGCGCGCCCGUCUCCGUCCACGUUCUAAAGCUGAAGAAGCACCACCAGCUGAAGCUCCGCUGCACGCACUUUCUGCGCGCCUAGAAAGGCGUCCUUUAGUAACUCAAGGGGCGGCACGAGCAGCUGCCGCGGUGGCCGGCGUAGCUCAGGCGCAAAGCGUCCAUGCAAGCAGGUUUUGUAGUGGGACACGACUGGGUUAAAACGUCCCUUGAGUGGCCGUAGGCCGUCCUCCUGCACCUGCCGCCGCACCUUGAGCCGCUCCGCGAGACCUACGUGCUGAGGACCGACUUCCGCCGCUGCCGCCCCCGUCCCUCGAACCGGCAGCACUGUACCCCUCUAACCCUAACGGCGUGGUACGAGCUCAGGCUCACGGCGAAGUUCCCCUAGCUCUUCGGGAGGAUGAAGCUAGCGACCUAGUUGGACUCCCAGGGGAAGGUCCGCCGCGAGCCGCCGCCUCCCGCCCAGUGGGAAGUCCUCCGCCAGGCCCGCCGCCCUGACCUGACCCUCCCGGCGGACGUGACGCCCAACCUGCUGCGCGCGUUGUGCCGCGCCGAAGAACAACUCGAGUACGACGCGCCCCAGUUCUACUGGUAGUGGCCGAGCGACCGCAGCGGCGGCGGCUAGGUAGUCUUCGUCGUCGAGGGCGUCGAAGAGGGUUCGAGAACGCGACCGAGUAGACGCGACCGCGGUAGCGACGGCUAGGUCGUCUUCGACGUCGUCGUCUGCGUCGAAGAGUGUUAGGGAACGCCACCGAGUAGACGCGACCACGGCGGCUGCUAGGUCGUCUUCGUCGUCGUCGUCGUCGGCGUGGUCGGUGUGUACUAUUCGGGGACGCCACCGAGCGGACCCUGCACGAAGACGAUGACGUCCCAUGGCUGGUCUCCUCCGCACCACAGGCACGGUCCCGGCUACGUCCCCUUCACGAAGAAGCCGACACCGUUGACCUGCGGCCGGUACCCUGGGCAAACGGGGAUGAAGCAUACCUGGUUGACUUACUUGGUGGGUACCGUCCGUGGUCUUAGUCACAUCGAGUCGACAAUCACAUUUAGCACGAUCGGUAGUCUUGGUCUCGAAUCGAGCCGACUAAGAUCGGUCAGAUCCACACUUAACCAGAGACGUUAGCUUACAUAAACCACAGACUUAAUCAUAAUAAUAGUUAUCUUUAAGAAAAAUCAAUACAGGGAAGAGGACUAGAGAAGGAGAGAGGCCGUGGAACUGCGAGGAGCAUUAGUGUGGGUAAAGAGACGUGUGCGUGACAGCUAAAUCUAUCUAGACGGCGAGUAUACGCACAGACAUCCUAGUAAAGCAUUAAAUACAAAGGUCUUGUGCGUUCUACUUCCUACGGACCUAGGGAUAAAACUUAUAAGAAAAACAUCUGUAGUGCGAUUAAAAUAGAACAACGCUUACACUUCGGGCACGACCGUCUCAUCGAACUCUACCUGCAGAUCGCAAAUAUACGACGGUUUAGUCAGUGACAGACAUAUCUCUCUGAGUUAACGCGAAUUCUUUAAGCCAAUCUUAGCUAUUUAGUAAGAGACGGGGUACCUUUACACUUUGAUAGUUUCACAACCACUCAGAACGGAACCUAACACUACGGAAUUUUGAUGAACUACACUAUUAACGUGUCCUACGACUCGUAACCACCGUACAGUUUAUGGAAUUCCACAGUACAUCCCCCGGUUUCCAACAAGUAAGUAUAGGAAUCGUGAACAAGGUAAACAUACGAAGCCACUAUACGGAGUCAACGUUUAAGGUACAGACUUAAGUCGUAUUGAUUUCUCCGGGAGGAAGUUUAGACAAACAAAAAUACAAAGUGUUUAUUCUUGUACAAUUGUAAAAUUUGCAAGAUUAUACAUAAGAAGUUACCAAGUCCCAAAGUCUAGAAAACAUACCUGUCGACAGAGUAUAGUUUACUUCCUGUAGUACUUCGACAGUGGGAGUUGUAGUGUCAAAAACCAGAGACGACGUAAAGAGGGAACCUCGUAUUUUGGAUAUAUACCCUAACACAGCCUGACAUAAGGUUAAUUCGUCUCCUUCGCACAUGGGAUAAACUAGUAAAGAUCACCAGAAAGAGAUAAAGGUACCGAAUAGUAACCCGACAGUCUUGUAAACUCCUCGAGUUCGUUAGAAACAUACGAUUACAACUAACAUGUCUUGAACCCUAGACGGUACCGUCUACAACAAUAUCUACGUUACUAACGUCUCCGUCAAGCUAGUCGUCCCGGUUUUAAACGACCACUAGAGGUCAGUAAUAGAACCAGUAGUUACCGACAUCCCCCCUAUAAACCCUCGAAUAACCUCCUAUGCGUAACAGGUUAGAGGGUGAUUUACGAUAACUAUAAUAAAAGAGACGAGAAGGUGACAAGGUUGAUCAAUGUACACAAAAGCAAUUCCUUAGAGGUUUUCCUAAACUUUCGUGCUGUCUAUUGCGGCGUGUACUAGUACGACUACCAGUCUUAUAACUAUCACGAAAACGACCUGUUCCGAGUCCACUUAGAAAAUUUAUACUCCCACUUUCCCACGAGCAUUUUUCUCUUUUUCCUCUAGUAAUAGGUUUGCUAGACUUCGAGUACUCUUCGUGUUAUUUAGUCAAUUAAAUAUGGGUAGAGACUUUAGUCGGAAUCAGUCAAAUACGUGACGAAAAUUCGUCGGUCGUUAAUACGCCAUUAAUUGGGACGUUAAAGUAAAAGAGACUACAAACGGAGAACGUGACUUCUCGGAUUGGCCGUUGAAGGAAAAAAGAAAAGAGAUCUGGAUUCCGUACCAAAAAGUAAAGUUUACGUCGUCAAUGUUUAUAGAGUUGUCAGUACAAGAUAAUAGUUUGCCUCCAAGAUGUAGACCUCCGUAGGAAGGAUCCCUGACGUUCACACUAACCCACCAAGUUAGAUUACGAACCGUGUAUAUAGAUGUUGGCGAUGAAUUUCGUAUUUUUUGAGUCCUUAUAAGAAUACAAACGUGUACAACCGGAACGCUAUUAAUGACAUGACCUGUAAAAUGACCACAGUUCUAAUGUAUAAGUCGUACCUUAUCGUCUGUUUAUGUACCACGACACCCCGAGACGAAACCGGCUACGUUAGUUGGUUAAGUUCUACUACGGCAAGGAUUAGGAGAGUCCUGUCGAAACGGGCGGACCUUAGCUCCCGUGUGACAAACGAGACAAGUACAGGUAAUUGUUGGAGUCAAGCUGUAAUCCAAGUAAGGAACCUCGACGUAACUGCAGUCGAAACUUGUAGAGCAGCCAUGUCAAACUGUUAGACCGCGAACCGGAUCGACAAGUCGACUACCCUUGAGAGAAUGGAUAACCUAAAAACAAAGACUAAGGUUCCCUGCAAUGUCCUGAUUGUAGCCCAAUGUCUGGACUAGUAGUAAAAAAGACCUGACCAGACCAGACAUAAGGGAUCAGAAUGAGUAUGUACGUAUAUCUCUUUCGUUUAACUUCGGUCGUCCUUCCAUCGAGUCAAAACAACUUUAUACAUAUGUCGGUAUAUGAGGGAAACAAGACUUAAUGAACAGCGUCCAUACCUACAUAGAUCUACAUAAAAUCAAGAUCUAUGUAGGUAAAGACACUGCUCAUUAAACCUUGCCUCCCUCAUGAUCUUACUCUCCUUCUCAUGUUAUCGACUGUAAUAUUUCGCAAUUCGUUACCGCUUUGACACAUCGUUUACAUGAACGCGCUUGUACACAAUGUACC
rnacentral:rRNA from 1 species